GACGAACCGAGCGAACGUUGUUCGGAAUCACUGGGCUUAAAGGGCGCGUAGGCGGGCCAUCAAGUCAGGGGUGAAAGCCCCCGGCUCAACCGGGGAAGUGCCUCUGAUACUGGUGGUCUCGAGGGAGAUAGGGGCGUGCGGAACUUCCGGUGGAGCGGUGAAAUGCGUAGAUAUCGGAAGGAACACCGGUGGCGAAAGCGGCGCGCUGGAUCUCUUCUGACGCUGAGGCGCGAAAGCUAGGGGAGCAAACGGGG
rnacentral:rRNA from 1 species